UCCGAGUUAACCCCGGCAGUCUCCCGCGAGUCCCCAACACUACUUGCUGGCAACACGGGAUAAGGGUUGCGCUCGUUGCGGGACUUAACCCAACAUCUCACGACACGAGCUGACGACAGCCAUGCACCACCUGUCACCCAGUCCGAAGAGGGCCCCAUCUCUGAGGCUUUCCGGGUGAUGUCAAACCCAGGUAAGGUGGGGAUGACGUCGGAGGAAUUCCA
rnacentral:misc_RNA from 1 species